AACGCUGGCGGCGCGCUUAACACAUGCAAGUCGAGCGAGAACCAGGGCUUCGGCUCUGGGGACAGCGGCGAACGGGUGAGUAACACGUGGGUAAUCUGCCCUCGGCAUCGGGAUAGCCCGGGGAAACCCGGAUUAAUACCGAAUAGCCUCCGGAGCCUUCGGGCGUCGGAGAAAAGGUAGCUUCGGCCUCUGGCCGAGGAUGAGCCCGCGGCGGAUUAGCUCGUUGGCGGGGUAACGGCCCACCAAGGCGACGAUCCGUAGCUGGUCUGAGAGGACGAUCAGCCACACUGGGACUGAGACACGGCCCAGACUCCUACGGGAGGCAGCAGUGGGGAAUCUUGCGCUAAUGCGGGAAACCGUGACGCAGCGACGCCGCGUGAGGGAAGAAGGCCUUCGGGUUGUAAACCUCUUUCAGGAGGGACGAAGCUACUCGGGUUAAUAGCCCAGAGGGUGACGGUACCUCCAGAAGAAGCCCCGGCUAACUACGUGCCAGCAGCCGCCGCCGUAA
rnacentral:rRNA from 1 species